rnacentral:rRNA from 1 species
ACGUAGGUGACAAGCGUUAUCCGGAAUUAUUGGGCGUAAAGCGCACGCAAGCGGUCUGUCAAGUCUGACGUGAAAUCUUCUGGUUUAACUGGGAGGGGUCGUUGGAAACUGAUGGGCUUGAGGCGAUGAGAGGGGUGCGGAAUUCCCGGUGUAGUGGUGGAAUGCGUAGAGAUCGGGAGGAACACCAGUGGCGAAGGCGGCCUGCUGGGCUGUUGCUGACGCUGAGGCGCGACAGCGUGGGAGCAAACAGGA